rnacentral:rRNA from 1 species
AACGAACGCUGGCGGCAUGCCUAACACAUGCAAGUCGAACGAGACCUUCGGGUCUAGUGGCGCACGGGUGCGUAACGCGUGGGAACCUGCCCUUAGGUUCGGAAUAACUCCCCGAAAGGGGUGCUAAUACCGGAUAAUGUCUUCGGACCAAAGAUUUAUCGCCUUUGGAUGGGCCCGCGUUGGAUUAGCUAGUUGGUAGGGUAAAAGACUACCAAGGCGACGAUCCAUAGCUGGUCUGAGAGGAUGAUCAGCCACACUGGGACUGAGACACGGCCCAGACUCCUACGGGAGGCAGCAGUGGGGAAUAUUGGACAAUGGGCGAAAGCCUGAUCCAGCAAUGCCGCGUGAGUGAUGAAGGCCUUAGGGUUGUAAAGCGCUUUUACCCGGGAUGAUAAUGACAGUACCGGGAGAAUAAGCUCCGGCUAACUCCGUG